GAGUUUGAUCCUGGCUCAGGAUGAACGCUAGCGACAGGCCUAACACAUGCAAGUCGAGGGGCAGCAUGGCGUAGCAAUACGUUGAUGGCGACCGGCGCACGGGUGCGUAACAGGUGUGCAAUCUGUCCUAUACCGGGGAAUAGCCCAGCGAAAGUUGAAUUAACGCUCCAUGUGUCACGAAGCCGCAUACUUUGUGAUGAAACGUAAGGGUAUAGGAUGAGCACGCUUCUGAUUAGGUAGUUGGUGAGGUAACGGCCCACCAAGCCGACGAUCAGUAGGGGUUCUGAGAGGAAGGUCCCCCACAUUGGAACUGAGACACGGUCCAAACUCCUACGGGAGGCAGCAGUGAGGAAUAUUGGUCAAUGGACGGAAGUCUGAACCAGCCAAGUCGCGUGAAGGAUGAAGGUUCUAUGGAUUGUAAACUUCUUUUGUCUGAGGGUAAAGUCGGGGACGUGUCCCCGUUGGCAAGUAUCAGACGAAUAAGCAUCGGCUAACUCCGUGCCAGCAGCCGCGGUAAUACGGAGGAUGCGAGCGUUAUCCGGAUUUAUUGGGUUUAAAGGGUGCGUAGGCGGAUUAUUAAGUCAGCGGUGAAAGCGUGUGGCUCAACCAUACCGAGCCAUGGAUACUGGUAGUCUUGAGUGUGAAUGAGGUAGGCGGAAUGCGACGUGCAGCGGUGAAAUGCUUAGAUAUGUCCCAGAACUCCGAUUGCGAAGGCAGCUUACCAAGCCAUUACUGACGCUGAGGCGCGAAAGCGUGGGUAUCAAACAGGAUUAGAUACCCUGGUAGUCCACGCAGUAAACGAUGAAUACUAGCUGUUGGCGAUACAAUGUCAGUGGCAAAGCGAAAGUGUUAAGUAUUCCACCUGGGGAGUACGCCGGCAACGGUGAAACUCAAAGGAAUUGACGGGGGCCCGCACAAGCGGAGGAACAUGUGGUUUAAUUCGAUGAUACGCGAGGAACCUUACCCGGGCUUGAAAGUUAAUGAAUAACCCUGAAAGGGGUUAGGCUCGCAAGAGACAUGAAACUAGGUGCUGCAUGGUUGUCGUCAGCUCGUGCCGUGAGGUGUCGGCUUAAGUGCCAUAACGAGCGCAACCCUUGUUGUUAGUUACCAUCAGGUUAAGCUGGGGACUCUAACGAGACUGCUACUGUAAGGUAGAGGAAGGUGGGGAUGACGUCAAAUCAGCACGGCCCUUAUGUCCGGGGCUACGCACGUGUUACAAUGGGGGGUACAGAGGGAAGCCACCUGGCGACAGGGCGCGGAUCCCGAAAUCCCUUCUCAGUUCGGAUCGGAGUCUGGAACCCGACUCCGUGAAGCUGGAUUCGCUAGUAAUCGCGCAUCAGCCAUGGCGCGGUGAAUACGUUCCCGGGCCUUGUACACACCGCCCGUCAAGCCAUGAAAGCCGGGGGCGCCUGAAGUCCGUAACCGCGAGGAUCGGCCUAGGGCGAACCUGGUAAUUGGGGCUAAGUCGUAACAAGGUAGCCGUA
rnacentral:rRNA from 1 species